AGGCCCAGUACGCUGCCCAUGGGGCACGGAACAUGGUGGCAGCUCCACAAGGAUGUUCGGGGUACUGACCGUGGGUGACCCUGAGGCCGCCCAGAAGGAGCACAAAUAAACCAAGAACUCUCUGCAAGUCUCUCCCAGAAUCCUUUUAACACUCCAAGGUCCAGCUCCGACCUGCUUCCACAGAACGCUGACACUGUCCGAAGCGACCACAUGUAUCCUGCGGUUCUUAAGUCACUAACCUCUUGUUCUUUCUGAAAUAUAACCACUCUGCCGCCCUUGUCUCCAGUUGCAAGAAGAUCUCCAGAGUAAUUAAAUUCGACAGUUGAAAUGAUAUCAGCUGUUAAUAAAACACAAAUAGAAAUUACACGAUUUAUUUCAGAGGAAAAACAAAACCAGGCCAAAUUUAAAAGGCCCCAAACAGCAGUAAACAGAAAUCCAGCUCUUCC